CCCAACUAUCCCUAUUAAUCAUUACGUGGUCCUAAAACCAACAAAAUAGAACCAUCGUCCUAUUUUAUUAUUCCAUGCUAACGUAUUCAAGCAAAAAUGCCCGCUUUAAACACUCUAAUUUUUUCAAAGUAAAAGUCCUAGUUCAUUGAAACACCCGAGAGCAUCCCAAUUCACCAGAAGGUGAGAAUUGGCCACACACUGAUUCAUGCCCCUAAAGGCACGAUUGAUAUAUCCCAAUCCCGAAAUUCAACUACGAGCUUUUUUGUGAGGAGUAUUUGUUGUCAUUAAGUUGUCGACAGAUUCGACUUGCAUCGUUUACUGUGAAAAAAUUAGAGUGUUUAAAGCAGGCGUUAUCGCACAUUGAAUACAUUAGCAUGGAAUAAUAAGAUAAGACAAUGCGUUUAAUUUUGUUGGUUUUUACGCGGAGUAAUGAUUAAUAGGGAUAGUUGGGGCCAGCCGAGUAU
rnacentral:misc_RNA from 1 species